rnacentral:rRNA from 1 species
UACAGAGGGUGCUAGCGUUGUUCGGAAUCAUUGGGCGUAAAGGGCGUGUAGGCGGUUUGUUAAGUCAUGUGUGAAAUCCCUCGGCUCAACCCCGGAACUGCAUUCGAUACUGCUGCGCUAGAGUACUGGAGAGGAGAUUGGAAUUUACGGUGUAGCAGUGAAAUGCGUAGAUAUCGUAAGGAAGACCAGUGGCGAAGGCGGAUCUCUGGACAGUUACUGACACUGAGGCACGAAGGCCAGGGGAGCAAACGGG